rnacentral:rRNA from 1 species
UACGUAGGGCGCAAGCGUUAUCCGGAAUUAUUGGGCGUAAAGAGCUCGUAGGCGGUUUGUCACGUCGGCUGUGAAAACCCGAGGCUCAACCUCGGGCCUGCAGUCGAUACGGGCAGACUAGAGUAUGGCAGGGGAGACUGGAAUUCCUGGUGUAGCGGUGAAAUGCGCAGAUAUCAGGAGGAACACCGGUGGCGAAGGCGGGUCUCUGGGCCAUAACUGACGCUGAGGAGCGAAAGCGUGGGGAGCGAACAGG